AUUCUACUCCAUCCGUCCCAAAAUUCUUGUCUUAGAUUUGUCUAAAUACGGAUGUAUCAAUACAUCCGUAUUUAGACAAAUCUAAGACAAAAAUUUUGAGACGGAGUGAGUAUGUA
rnacentral:pre_miRNA from 1 species